rnacentral:tRNA from 2 species
CCCUGGUUAGAUCAGUUGGUAGAGAGAUCCACCUGUAAUGGAGAGGUCCCAGGUUCGAUACCUGGACCAGGCG